AGUGAACGCUGGCGGUAGGCCUAACACAUGCAAGUCGAACGGAAGCACAGUAAGAGCUUGCUCUUACGGGUGGCGAGUGGCGGACGGGUGAGGAAUACAUAGGAAUCUACUUAUACGUGGGGGAUAACGUAGGGAAACUUACGCUAAUACCGCAUACGACCUACGGGUGAAAGCAGGAGAUCUUCGGACCUUGCGCGAUUGAAUGAGCCGAUGUUGGAUUAGCUAGUUGGCGGGGUAAAGGCCCACCAAGGCGACGAUCCGUAGCUGGUCUGAGAGGAUGAUCGGCCACACUGGAACUGAGACACGGUCCAGACUCCUACGGGAGGCAGCAGUGGGGAAUAUUGCACAAUGGGCGCAAGCCUGAUCCAGCCAUACCGCGUGAGUGAAGAAGGUCUUCGGGUUGUAAAACCCUUUUGUUAGGGAAGAAAAGCUGUAUAUGUAUAUCUCCACGUUCUGACGGUACCUAAUGAGUAAGCACCGGCUAACUUCGUG
rnacentral:rRNA from 1 species